GGGGCCAUAGCUCAGUUGGGAGAGCGCUUGCAUGGCAUGCAAGAGGUCGUGGGUUCGACUCCCAUUGGCUCCA
rnacentral:tRNA from 2 species